UAGGGAAUUUUCCACAAUGGACGAAAGUCUGAUGGAGCAACGCCGCGUGCAGGAUGAAUGUCUUCGGAUUGUAAACUGCUUUUAUAUGUGACAAUUAUGACGGUAGCAUAUGAAUAAGGAUCGGCUAACUCCGUGCCAGCAGCCGCGGUCAUACGGAGGAUCCAAGCGUUAUCCGGAAUUACUGGGCGUAAAGAGUUGCGUAGGUGGCAUUGUAAGUAGAUAGUGAAAGCGUGGGGCUCAACCUCAUAACCAUUAUCUAAACUGCAAAGCUAGAGGACGAGAGAGGUGAUUGGAAUUCCCUGUGUAGGAGUGAAAUCCGUAGAUAUAGGGAGGAACACCGAUGGCGUAGGCAGAUCACUGGCUCGUUCCUGACACUAAGGCACGAAAGCGUGGGUAGCAAACGGGAUUAGAUACCCCGGUAGUCCACGCCGUAAAACGAUGGAUGCUAGCUGUUAGAGGUAUCGACCCCUCUAGUAGCGAAGCUAACGCGUUAAGCAUCCCCGCCUGUGGAGUACGGUCGCAAGACUAAAACUUAAAUGAAUUGACGGGGUCAUAGCUGUUUCCUG
rnacentral:rRNA from 1 species